GUUUCUUUCGUGUUAUGUCAUGUAAGCCUUCAUUUAGCAAAGUAUAACAUUUUCAUUGUCUUGAAAUUGAUAAUUUUAUACAAAAUGUUUCAAGGCAUUAUUUGUCUAUCUGGUUUUUCACUCAAGUCAUUGGCACCAGUUCCCAUUCGGAAUUUCUGAACAAUGAAUGUAGCCUAGAAACUAUUUACCGCUUUCCCUGUACAUAAUGUAAACGGUUUGUACCCCCUAAACCAAUUCCCCAUUAAUAUAUCCAUCAGAAUGUCUGGAUCAGUCAUCAAUGGUAACGGGCAGGGUGUUGCGUGUUAAGAUUCCCACUUGGAUCACAGGUUCCUCCUCCAGGGCUACAGUAGAGGGAUCAGUCAUGCCACAUGCAGCAUCCCCAUCUCUACUUUCUGGUAAAUGUCACUUUAAAGAUGACUCAAGAGACAUAAGACUCCCGAGUCCGUUUCUGAAGCACAAUCAUGCUCCAUUAAAAUCAGUCCAGAUGAGAUGUAGUUCUGCCUACUUUACAAGGUAUUGAUAAUGUCUCAAUAUAAAAGAACGCUGGUAAAGGCCCCCCAAUUAUAAACAGCACUGUUUUAUAGUGUCAUGUUGUACACUUUCAGAAGGUGCAGGUGUAGACACAUGUACAAUGAUUUGUGAAAUUGUAUUCUGAUCGCCAAAUCUGGUCCAUGUCCAUAAUAAGAUCCACAUUGACAACCAUCUGAGUAUAUGUGAAUGUAUACCAUUCAACCGCUACAGUUUAAUCAUCAUCAACAACCAAGCACACUGCAUUUGACAUGCUCUUCCUUUGUCUUUUUUUUGUAAGAAAUCCUGUCCCCAGAAAGGUCGAGCCUGUAGUGUUUUGGGUUGGUGGUAAUAAUACUUCCAUUUUCCCAGUGUUUCAUCAUCGUCGUAUAUGAAUUUGAGUUUAAUUUUGUGUAACCACAUGUCCCACCACUCGGUACCUCUUCACGCCUGACCAGAACCUUGUCAUCUGGCUCUGUUUCUGUCCAGCAAAGCCUGUCAAUUCUGGAUGUUAAUUCUGAUCUCACAUGAGAACCUGGGCAUUCCCAUUUACAUGAACAAAUGUAAACAGAAACACUUUUGGCUAUGGACAUCAACCAGAUCCUCAGAUCCACUUGACUGAAGUCUUGCUCCUACACUACCGAUGGAACGAUCUCAUGGAAUAGAUCCAAGCCACUACACCAGGGAAUACUUUGGGGAGAGUUGUAGUCAUGGGAGUGUGUGAAGUUUAACUGCCACCAAUUGAUCUGGAAGGAGGACAUUUUAACAACCCAAAUAGGACAAGUUUCCCCAUCAACAUUUGGCCCCACAAGGCUACUCUGUCAGUGCUGUAACCAGCUAAAGACAAUCUCUGGACUGUUUCUAUCUUUAGACUGAUUUUCAUUUUUCUAUUUACUGUGUUGAACAUAUGGAGUACAGGAGGACUACCGGGCAGCUGAAUUGUAUAUACAAACUACAAAGACUACAUUUGUAGCCCAUUUUCUGUGUCCCUUUGUCACCUCUUCUUUGACUUCUAUGAUGUUGUGUAGUAUGGUGUUUGGCAUUAAACUCUUAUUUGAAU
rnacentral:lncRNA from 1 species